UACGAAGGGGGCGAGCGUUGUUCGGAUUUACUGGGCGUAAAGGGCGCGUAGGCGGCCCUCUUUGUCGCGUGUGAAAGCCCCGGGCUCAACCUGGGAAUGGCGCGCGAAACGGGGGGGCUGGAGUUCGGGAGAGGAGCGUGGAAUUCCCAGUGUAGAGGUGAAAUUCGUAGAUAUUGGGAAGAACACCGGUGGCGAAGGCGGCUCACUGGCCCGAUACUGACGCUGAGGCACGAAAGCGUGGGGAGCAAACAGG
rnacentral:rRNA from 1 species